rnacentral:sRNA from 1 species
GUUCAUCCAUACUACUUGGAGCCACUGC